AGAAGAUAGUGAAGAACAUAAAGAACCAGCAGUAAAAAUAAAUCUUGUGAUAGAUUUUGACGCUAUCAUUUCUUCUCCUUCACAGUUACUCCACAACUUUCUGCUGUCCAGUUAAUUUUCAAGCCUGAAAAGCCAGUCCCGGGGUCCAAAUCUGUUGCAGAAUUUCACACAUUACGUUAAAAGGACGUAUCUCGGAGUAUUGCAGCCCCAGCCUGCUUCCUCUUCCCUUCAACAAGGUUUAAGAUUUGUAUUUGUGGAUUGAAACAAAGUAGACGCUUCAGUGGGGGAAAAGUAGCUAGUUUAGAAAUACAGGAAAAAACAGUAUUCCGGACACCUCCCUCUUCCCCUCCCCACCACGAAUACCUCCCUCCCCCAAGGGCUGCUUUUCCUUAGUCAGUCCCGCAAGAGCUGAGAUUCCUUAAAAGCAUGACGGCAACGACGAACGCCCAGAACUGGGGGAAUCCAGACCGGGUAAAUAGAAGACACAUAAAGGUGCUGCUGAAUGCUGCUAUAGAAAUUCUGAAAUCAGGUUAUAUGUGAAGACACACAUACUGAUAUCCUUUUGUACCCCAAAUGUAGAUCUCAACAUGUGGUCUACACCUCAACACUUGGUACCUGACCUCAACAUUUGGUUCCAGACCUCAACAAUAUGAAAAAAUGCUCUGUCCUAAAGCAUGAAUUGGAGAAACAACAAAUAAUAGACACAAUCAACAACUUCAUCCAAAAGAAUGAUAAUGAGACAACAUACCAAAAUUUGUGGAAUGCAGCCAAAGCAAUUAUCAGGGGAUAUUUUACAUCUCUAGAUGCUGAUUUGCAUAAAAUAGAGAAAGAGAAGAUCAGGCUUACAACCAAAAAACUAGAAAAAGGCAGCAGCAAGGUGGUGCAGUGGAUAGAAUACCAGCCCUGAAGUUAGGAAAACCUGAGUUCACAUCUGACUUCAGACACUUAACACUUCCUGGCUGUGGGACUUUGGGCAAGUAACUUAACCCCAAUUGCCUCAGGAAAAAAAAAAAGCUAAAAAAAGAACAAAUUAAAAACCCUCCAUUAAAUACUAAAUUUGAAAUUCUGAAAAUAAAAGGGAAGAUUAAUAAAACUGAAAGUAAGAAAACUAUCAAAUGAAUAAAUAAAACUAAAAGUUGAUUUUAUAAAAAAAUAGAUAAAUCUUUAGUUAAUUUGAGUAGAAAAAGGAAAGAAGAAAAUCAAAUUGGUAGUCUCAAAAAUGAAAAGGGAGAACUUUCAAUCAAUGAAAAGGAAAUUAGAGCAAUAAUUAGGAGUUAUUUUGCCCAACUAUAUGCCAAUAAAUUUGAUAAUCUAAAUGAAAUAGAAGACUAUAGACCAAAAUAGAUUGCCCAGGUUAACAGAAAAGGAAAUAAAUUAUUUAAAUAGUCCUAUUUUAGAAAAAGAACUAGAAUAAGCUAUUAAUUAAUCAACUUCCUAAGAAAAAAUCCCCAGGGCCAUAUGGAUUUACAUGUGAAAUCUACCAAACAUUAAAAGAACAAUUAAUUCCAAUACUAUAUAAACUAUUUGAAAAAAAAUAGGGAAAGAAGGAGUUCCACCAAAUUCCUUUUAUGACACAGUUAUAGUGCUGAUAGCUAAACCAGCUAAGAUGAAAACAAAGAAAGAAAAUUAUAGAACAAUCUCCCUAAUGAAUAUUGAUACAAAAAUCUUAAAUAAAAUAUUAGCAAAGAGAUUACAUAAAGUCAUCCCCCAGAUAAUACAUUAUGACCAAGUAGGAUUUAUACCAGGAAUGUAGAGCUAAUUCAAUAUUGGGAAACCUAUUAGCAUAAUUGACUAUAUCAAUAAUCAAAUUAACAAAAACCAUAUGAUCAUCUCAAUAGAUGCAGAAAAACAUUUGAUGAAAUCCAAUACCUAUUCCUACUAAAAACACUAGAGAGUGUAGGAAUAAAUGGACUUAUCCUUAAAAUGAUCAGUAGCAUCUAUUUAAAAACAUCAGCAAGCAUCAUAUGUAAUGGGUACAAACUAGAACCAUUUCCAAUAAAAUCAUGAAUAAAGCAAAGCUACCAUUAGUAUUCAAUAUUAUAUUAGAAAUGUUAGCUUUGGCAAUAGGAGAAGAAAAUGAGAUUAAAGGAAUUAAGAGUAAGUCAUGAGGAGACCAGAUUAUUACUCUUUGCAGAUGAUAUAGUUAGAGAACCCUAGAGAAUCGACUAAAAACUACUAGAAACAAUUCACAGCUUUACCAAGGUUGCAGGAUUCAAAAUAAAUCCACAUAAAUCAUCAGCAUUUUUAUAUAUUACUAACACAAAGUCCAGUAGCAAGAGAUACAAAAAAGAAAUUCCAUUCAAAAUAAUUGUAGAUAGUAUAAAAUAUUUAGGAAUCUUAUCUGCCAAGUCAGGAACUAUAUGAACACAACUACAAAACACUUGCCACACAAAUAAAAUCAGAUCUUGGAAAAAUAUCAAGUGCUCUUGGAUAGGCCAAAUGAAUAUAAUAAAAAUGACAAUACUACCUAAAUUAAUCUACUUAUUUGAUGCCAUACUAAUCAUACUCCCCAAAAUUAUUUUACAGAGCUAGAAAAAAUAAUGACAAAGUUCAUCUGCAAGAACAAAAGGUCAAGAGUUUCAAGGGAAUUCAUGAAAAAAAUACAAAUGAAAGCGGCCUCACUGUGCCAGACCUAAAACUAUAUUAUAAAGUAGAAGUCAUCAAAAUCAUUUUGUACUGGCCAAGAAAUAGAGUAGUAGAUCAGUGGAAUAGGUUAGGAUCACAAGACAAAAUAGUAACUAUAGCAAUCUAGUGUUUGAGAAACACAAAGAUCCCGGCUUUUGGGAUAAGAACUCACUUUUGAGCAAAAACUGCGGGGAAAAUUGGAAACUAGUAUGGAAGAAAUUAGGACUUGAUCCAUACCUAACACUACAUACCAAGAUAAGAUCUAAAUGGGUUCAUAAUUUAGACAUAAAGAGUCAUAUUAUAAACAAAUUAGAAGAACAUAGGAUAGUUUACCUCUCAGAUCUGUGGAGAAAGAAGGAAUCUGUGUCCAAAGAAGACCUGGAACUUGUAAUUGAACACUAGAUAGAUAAUUUUGAUUAUAUUAAGUUAAAAAGUCUUUGUACAAACAAAAUUAAUGCAAACAAGAUUAGAAGAGAAACAAUAAACUGGGAAAACAUUUUUACAGUUAUAGGUUCUGAUAAAGGUCUUAUUUUUUAAAUAUAUAGAUAAUUGACUCAAAUUUAUAAGAAUUCAAGCCAUUCUCCAAUUGAUAAAUGGUCAAAGGAUACAAAGUCAAUUUUCAGAUGAAAAAAUUAAAACCAUUUUUAAUCAUAUGAGAAGGUGCUCUAAAUCACUAUUGAUCAGAGAAAUGCAAAUUAAGAUAACGCUGAGAUACCACUACACACCUCUCAGAUUGGCUAAGAUGACAGGAAAAGAUAAUGGCAAAUAUUGGAGGGAAUGUGGAAAAACGGGGACAUUACUACAUUGUUGGUGGAACUGUGAACAGAUCUAGCCAUUCUAGACAGCAAUUUGAAACUAUGUUCAACAAUUUAGAAUUAUGCCCAAAAAGUUAUCAAACUGUGCAUACCCUUUGAUCCAGCAGUGUUACUACUGGGCUUAUAUCCCAAAGAAAUACUAAAGAAGGGAAAGGGGCCUGUAUGUGCCAAAAGUGACCCUGUUUGUGGUGGCUAGAAACUGGAAAAUGAAUGGAUGCCCAUCAAUUGGAGAAUGGUUGGGUAAAUUGUGGUAUAUGAACGUUAUGGAAUAUUAUUGUUCUGUAAGAAAUGACUAGCAGGAUGAAUACAGAGAGGCUUGGAGAGACUUACAUAAACUGAUGCUGAGUGAAAUGAGCAGAACCAGGAGAUCAUUAUACACUUCAAUAACGAUACUGUAUGAGGAUGUAUUCUGAUGGAAGUGGAUUUCUUCGACAGAGAAGAUCUAAUUUAGUUCCAGUUGAUCAAUGAUUGACAGAAGCAGCUACACCCAAAGAAAGAACACUGGGAAAUGAGUGUAAACUGUUUGCAUUUUUGUUUUUCUUCCCAGGUUAUUUUUACCUUCUGAAUCCAAUUCUUCCUGUGCAACAAGAGAACUGUUUGGUUCUGCACACAUAUAUUGUAUCUAGGAUAUCCUAUAACAUAUUUAACAUGUACAAGACUGCUUGCCAUUUAGGGGAGGGGACGGAGGGAGGGAAAGGAAAAGUUGGAACAGAAGUGAGUGCAAGGGAUAAUGUUGUAAAAAAUUACCCAUGCAUAUGUUCUGUCAACAAAAAAAUGUUAUAAUUUAAAAAAAAAUAAAAUAAUUGACAAUAUUAAAAAAAGAAACUAUACUCAAAAAGUUAUCAAACUGUGCAUACCCUUUGAUCCAGCAGUGUUUCUAUUUGGCCUAUACCCCAAAGAGAUCCUAAAGGAAGGAUAGGGACCCACUUGUGCAAAAUUGUUUGUGGCAGCCCUUUUUAUAGCAACAAAAAACUGGAAACUGAGUGGAUGCUCAUCAGUUGGGAAAUAGCUGAACAAGUUAUGGUGCAUGAAUGUUAUGGAAUAUUAUUUUUCUGUAAGAAAUGAUCAGGAGGAGGAUUUUAAAGAGGCUUGGAGAGACCUAUAUGAACUGAUGCUAAGUGAGAUGAGCAGAACAAGGAGAUCAAUUUACCUGGCAACAAAAAUAUUAUACAACAAUCAAUUCUGAUGAACGUGACUCUUUUCAAUAAUGAGAUGACUGAUGCCAGUUCCAAUGAUCUUGUGAGAAAGAGAGCAAAGUAUACUCAAAGAAAGGACUGUGAAAACUGAAUGUGGAUCACAAUAUAACAUUUUCACUUUUUGUUGUUGUUCGCUUGCAUUUUGUUUUCUUACUCAUUUACUUUCUUUUUUAAUCUGAUUUUUCUUGUGCAGCAAGGGAAUUGUAUAAAUACAUUUAUACAUAUUGGAUUUAACGUAUACUUUAGGAUAACAUAUAUAGAUAUAAAUAUGUAUAUACAUAUCUACCUAUUCAUAUAUGUUUAACAUAUAUUGGAUUGCUUGCCAUCUAGGAGAAGGGCGGGGGGGGGGAGAAGGAAACUGAAUCUGAAAUACAAGGCUAUGAAAAGGUCAAUGUUUUGAAAAUAAAAAACUUUUCUUUUUAAAGAAAAAAUGGUCUAAGUCACUAUUGAUUAGAGAAAUGCAAAUUAAAAUAACUCUGAGAUAUUACUACAUACCUCUCAGAUUGGCUAAGAUGACAGGAAAAGAGAAUGAUAAAUGUUGGAGGAGAUGUGGGAAAACUGGGAUACUAAUACAUUGUGAGUGGAGUUGUGAAUUGAUCUAAUCAUGCUGGAAAGCAAUUUGAAAUUAUGCCCAAAGGGUUAUCAACCUGUGCAUACUCUUUGAACCAGCAGUGUCCCUACUGGGUCUGUAUCCCAAAGAGAUCAUAAAAAAGAGAAAAAAACCCACAUGUGCAAAAAUGUUUGUAGCAGCCUUAUUUUGUAGUGGAAAGGAAUUGAAAACUGAGUGGAUGCCCAUCACUUGGGGAAUGACUGAAUAAGUUAUGGUAUAUGUAUAUUAUGGAAUAUUAUUUUUCUAUAAAAAACAAUCAGUAGGAUGAUUUCAGAAAGAUCUGGAGAGAGACUUACAUGAACUGAUGCUAAGUGAAGUGAGUGGAACCAAGAGAACUUUGUAAACAGCAAUAAGAUAUGUGAUGAUCAAUUCUGAUGGAUUUGGCUCUUUUCAACAAUGAGGUGAUUCAGGCCAAUUCCUUUUUUUUUAAUUUUUUUUUUUUAUUUAAUAGCCUUUUAUUUACAGGUUAUAUGUAUGGGUAACUUUACAGCAUUAACAAUUGUUCAGGCCAAUUCCAAUAAACUUGUGAUGAC
rnacentral:lncRNA from 1 species